rnacentral:lncRNA from 1 species
UAAGAGACUACCUCAUAGCCCAAUUCACCAAAAAUAAUUUCCUAAGCACAUUCCCUGUGCUGUAUCCUGAUGUACACUCAAUUUGCUGAGAUCAUUUUUUCUGACUGUCAUUCAGUGAGCCACACUACAACUGUGCUUGUGCCCCACAUGGGACACAGAGAAGCAAGAUUAACCACCAUCUAAUUUCUACUUUUGUCAUAAAUGUUGCCCAUAACACAUGGCAGACAAAGUGUGCUCUCUGAGGAGUUUGACACAGCCACUGUCUGGCAGUCUGGGUGGUAGAGAAUAUAUUAUUUAUCAUACUCAAUGGGAUGAGGCGGGCACUGAAGCUACUUAUUGGAGCAGCUGUGAACCCCCAAUCUCCUUAAUUUUCAAAACAGGUUUUGGUAACCUUGGAGAAACAAGUUACAGCAACCAUCAGCCCAGGCGACAAAUUUGCAAGCAGGCCAGGGUGUAA